rnacentral:rRNA from 1 species
CAGCAGCCGCGGUAAUACGUAGGGUGCAAGCGUUAAUCGGAAUUACUGGGCGUAAAGCGUGCGCAGGCGGUUCGCUAAGACAGAUGUGAAAUCCCCGGGCUUAACCUGGGAACUGCAUUUGUGACUGGCGGGCUAGAGUAUGGCAGAGGGGGGUAGAAUUCCACGUGUAGCAGUGAAAUGCGUAGAGAUGUGGAGGAAUACCGAUGGCGAAGGCAGCCCCCUGGGCCAAUACUGACGCUCAUGCACGAAAGCGUGGGGAGCAAACAGGAUUAGAUACCCGGGUAGUCCCUGUCUCUUAUAC